rnacentral:tRNA from 1 species
GAGGGUAUAGCUCAAGCGGUAGAGUGCCUGCUUAGCAUGCAGGAGGUCUUGGGUUCAAUUCCCGGUACCACCU